CUAGUCCAGCCCUGGAGCAUGAGAGAAAUCGUCUGUGAGGAGAACUACAUAGAGUUGGAGCAGUAUCAGUUCAGUGGAAGAUCCCAGUUGUUUCUUAUGAAGGAGUGGAAUAGUUUGAUCUGCAGUCAAAGGCAUUUACAGACAGAGCUGAGCAACUCUUGGCAGGGCGUGUGAUCUUCUACAAACCAGGCGUCACCCCCAGAGCACUCCAGACAAUAGAAGAGGCUGCAGUGUUAGGGUCCCAUUCUCUGCCACAGUUACACGAAUGUUAGUGCGCAGUGGCUACUCCUCCCCUCUCUCUUAUACCAUCAAGCUCGAAGGGACAUCAAUCCCAGUUGAGAUUUCUGUGGCCUGCACAAAGCUGAGGCUGUAGCUGAUGGCCUUCACCUGCUCUCGUCAUAAACCCCUGCUCUUUCUCCUCUGGUACGAGGCUGGUUCAGACACAGAGGAAUGAGACUGGGGGCGGGUGGUAGAGUGCUAAGUGACCAUGAGAUGCGUGAGCAUGGUUACAAAGCCAGCCUGAAAUAUCAUGGAGUGGAGCUCAGGAUCCUAGCAGAGGCUGGGGGAGCCCAGAUAAAGGGUCAUGUCAUUGAAAGCCAGUAUGCUCAGUCUAUGUCAGUGGACCUCUUUUAUGUUUAUCACUGGGAGGAUGCUAUUUGGCCUGACACUCAACAUUGCCGCUUUCAACUCCUCCGCACGCCGUAUGUACCAAGAUGCUCUCGGUCACCCUGGGUGUGUUCGCUGCUGACGUGUACCUAGAGUGUGACAAUUGGGGGUACCACUUUGGCAUGGACAGAAGCACAACUCCAAGGGCUUAAUUUGACCCAAGUGGUGUUCCACAAUGGCAGUCAUGCCUAUGUACUCCAGCUUCCCUUCUCCCACGCUCUGGUCACCCAGGAGGUGGGAC